rnacentral:lncRNA from 1 species
AAUAGUCAAUCAGUUUUGUUUUCUGACAAACUAUCCUUCAAACAAGUGCCAUACUUUCACACAUGGACUCCACAGCUAAAGAAAGAAAUACAGAACAAAGCUUUGGAGAUCGUUCAUCCUAUCCAUCAAGACAGCACACAAGACAUCAAGAGGAAUGGGAUCAGAAGAUGCACUGUUAGUACAGUGGGCUACAAACCUUCUACCAAAUUGAACAGUCAGUCAGUCAGCAGCGUGUGGCAAGCACAAAUCAUUUUUUCAUGCUGUGAAAUGGAACCUGAUCUUAAGUAAGCUGAAAGUGACUUCAAUACCAGAGCUCUACCUACAGAGCAAUAAUAAAUAAUGCUUCG